rnacentral:tRNA from 1 species
GCCUGGAUGGCUCAGUCGGUUGAGUGUCUGACUUUGGCUCAGGUCAUGAUCUCUCAGUUUGUGGGUUCAAGCCCCAUAUCGGGCU